CCUACGGGGGGCAGCAGUAGGGAAUAUUGCUCAAUGGGGGAAACCCUGAAGCAGCAACGCAGCGUGGAGGAUGAAGGUUUUCGGAUUGUAAACUCUUUUUGUUAGAGAAGAUAAUGACGGUAUCUAACGAAUAAGCACCGGCUAACGUCGUGCCAGCAGCCGCGGUAAGACGGAGGGUGCAAGCGUUACUCGGAAUCACUGGGCGUAAAGAGCGCGUAGGCGGGAUAGCAAGUCAGAUGUGAAAUCCUAUGGCUUAACCGUAGAACUGCAUUUGAAACUGUUAGUCUAGAGUAUGGGAGAGGUAGGUGGAAUUCGUGGUGUAGGGGUAAAAUCCGUAGAGAUCAAGAAGAAUACUGAUUGCGAAGGCGACCUGCUAGAACGUAACUGACGCUGAUGCGCGAAAGCGUGGGGAGCAAACAGGAUUAGAUACCCGGGUAGUC
rnacentral:rRNA from 1 species